GAAAAAAAAGGAAAUGGAAACAGCAGAAGCUCGUCUCCAACGCUAUCGUCUUCCUCACUCUCUCUCAAACUCUCUCAGGCGAAAACCUCUCCCUGCUCUCAGAAUCACUAUCCCUCAAACUUACCCAAUCGUCUCUCAAAUGCACUCGAACGAACCCCCUCCCCUGCUCUCGAAAUCGCUCGCAUCUAUCUCUCAAACCUCUCUCUCAUCACGGCCUCACCGAAUCCCUCUCAAACAAACAAGAAAAACAAAGGCUAUUACAAAACAGGAAGCUCACCCUCAGACCUUUGAUGAAGAUGACAGCUCAGGGUUUCAAAGGUGCCUUUGGUAAUCCAGAAGAGUAACUCUGCAAAGCACUUUUUGAUGUUCAGAAACUGGAUUGACCCCUUUGAUGCUUGGCCUUGGAAAGUGAAAAAUGGUGUCUUCACUUGUUUUGCUGCAACAUGCUCGAAUUGGCCUUGCACUUGUUUGUUUCAUUUUGAUGGCGAAGUACUCCUUUUUUCAAUUUCCUCUGUUUGAACCAUGAUGCAGGACCUUGAAUUGGCUUGAGGUUGCAGAGUUAGACUUGCAUAAAGCAUGAGUGUAAGGUGUGAUAAUUCCUGCUUGUUUUUGCUAUAUUUGCUUCAGGUUUUGAAGCAUGAUGAUAUUGCUCGAUUGUCUUAAUCAUUGCAGAUGGUAAGAUGGAUUUGCUUGAUUGUCUUCAUAAUUGUAUUUGCAUUUCCGUUGUUUUGUUUUACAUUGCCAAUUGUUGUGGAUUUUGGAUGCACACAUGUUGCUGGAAACCUCAUGCUGCAGGACCUUGACACCUUGGCCAAGUUCAGAUGUGUGCUUAGUCUCAUAGCCGGGUUCUUGUCCUGGUUCCAACUCAUAUGCUACAGAGCUAACUGUAGGAGCAUUGAUAGUUGUGGUAUGCUAAGGUUUGGUUAUUGUGGUGGCAUAAUCAUGGCCUUGUAGGAAUUUGUUGACUGGAUAUUGUAACAGCAGACUGUAGGUUUAUUACUUGCAAGGGAGCAUGGCUGGCUACUAAUGUUGGUUGUGUCGGCUGCUAGGUUGAAGUCCCAUGUGGUGGCUUGGUCUGCACAUGGUAUGGUAGUCUUGCAAUGUGUCUGACUUGGUUUUGUUGGUGUAACACAAUUGGGUAGGCUUAGGAACUGGUAUGCACCCAUCUUGAUAGCCCAAUGUUGAUAGCUUACUGACAACUUAUCAUGGUCUGCUGUUAGGUUUCCAUUGCCCUGUAUUUUUGUUGCUUUGAUCCUUCUUGAACAGGGUGCAGUUUUGAUGCAGGUUUUGUGGUCAUGAGCUACCACACACAUGUAAUGAUGUUGUGGCUUACUUGUGGUCUUGGUAUUGAUACGAAUUCAGUCUGCUAGCUGAUGUUGCUUGGGACAGGUCUUGACUUGACGCAGAUUGGUGCCUAACACGUGCAAGGUUGUCUCAAUGGUCAUGUUUUGC